CGUCAUUGUCAACCCUCAAGCCUUGCUUGCUGUUGGACCCCUCGACGAAAGUUGACGGCCCCAAAGAUAACGACGGUGUUGUGGCAACCCCCAGAUGCAACGAGCUUUAACACGCACGCGUCGCGGCGGUAUCGCAACCCAGUCUAAACAAUUAUUUUAAGGUUGACCUCGGAUCAGGUAGGAAUACCCGCUGAACUUAA
rnacentral:misc_RNA from 1 species